CGGAGACGGACCGCGUGCGGAGCGAGUGUUUCCCGGCCACUCAUGGCACUCAGCGGUAAAUAUUUAUACCGCCUGGCAUUUGGGUCCUGCUGUCCGAGCCUCCCGGAGGGGAGGCCCCGCGGACGCUAUUAUCCUUUUCCUUUCGAGACGAAGAGGCGGGAGUCGAGCGACGGACGCGGCCGCCGACUUGCAGAUGGAGAUCGCGAUUCCCACCAGGAAUUCCUGGAAAGUGAAAAACUGAAAUAAAAGCAUCAAACCCUCAGUGUCCUCUGCUGUGCACUCCCACCUGAGGGCUGCAGCGCGAGAGCCUCGGCGAGGACCUCGGCGCCGCACGCUGGAAGGAUCUCGCCGACAGGAACACCAGAGGCUCGGUGUCAUCACUUCGGCGACUCGCUGGGGGGGGGGG